rnacentral:misc_RNA from 1 species
UCCCUGUUACCAGGGCAGUCUGAUUAGAAAAAUUCAACUAAUCAUAAGGGUUGCGCUCGUUGCGGGACUUAACCCAACAUCUCACGACACGAGCUGACGACGGCCAUGCAUCACCUGUCACCGCGUUCCAAAAGGCACUCUCUUCUUUCGAAGAAAUUCGCGGGAUGUCAAGCCUUGGUAAGGUUCUCGGCUUAGCAUCCAAUUAAACAACACGCUCCACCGCUUGUGCGGGUCCCCGUCAAUUCCUUUGAGUUUUAGCCUUGCGACCGUACUCCCCAGGCGGGAUGCUUAACGCGUUAGCUUCGCUUCUGAAGGGGUCGAUACCUCCAAAUAGCUAGCAUCCAUCGUUUACGGCGUGGACUAC